UCAGGCCUAACACAUGCAAGUCGAGCGGCAGCGACAUGAUAGAAGCUUCGGUGGACAUCAUGGGCGGCGAGCGGCGGACGGGUGAGUAAUGCCUGGGAAUAUGCCCUGGUGUGGGGGAUAACUAUUGGAAACGAUAGCUAAUACCGCAUAAUCUCUUCGGAGCAAAGAGGGGGACCUUCGGGCCUCUCGCGUCAGGAUUAGCCCAGGUGGGAUUAGCUAGUUGGUGGGGUAACGGCUCACCAAGGCGACGAUCCCUAGCUGGUCUGAGAGGAUGAUCAGCCACACUGGAACUGAGACACGGUCCAGACUCCUACGGGAGGCAGCAGUGGGGAAUAUUGCACAAUGGGGGAAACCCUGAUGCAGCCAUGCCGCGUGUAUGAAGAAGGCCUUCGGGUUGUAAAGUACUUUCAGCAGUGAGGAAGGGGUGUACGUUAAUAGCGUAUAUCUUUGACGUUAGCUGCAGAAGAAGCACCGGCUAACUCCGUGCCAGCAGCCGCGGUAAUACGGAGGGUGCGAGCGUUAAUCGGAAUUACUGGGCGUAAAGCGCAUGCAGGCGGUCUGUUAAGCAAGAUGUGAAAGCCCGGGGCUUAACCUCGGAACAGCAUUUUGAACUGGCAGGCUAGAGUCUUGUAGAGGGGGGUAGAAUUCCAGGUGUAGCGGUGAAAUGCGGAGAGAUCUGAAGGAAUACCGGUGGCGAACG
rnacentral:rRNA from 1 species